rnacentral:snoRNA from 1 species
CAGUCUCUUGCCUCGCUCAAUCCGCUGUUCCAUUUGGCGGAUUUCGAGCUGGAUACAUACAUGCUCUAUCUCUAUCUUUCUUUGAAAGCUGAGACGCGUCAUGUGUGUACGAGACAAGACUAAAUGCGACGAUUUUUGAGUACGGAACCGCCUGAUUCCAUGUGUCGGACCUCCGUAAUUUAUCUGUCGGGACAUAC